UACGUAGGGUGCAAGCGUUACUCGGAAUUACUGGGCGUAAAGCGUGCGUAGGUGGUUGUUUAAGUCUGUUGUGAAAGCCCUGGGCUCAACCUGGGAAUUGCAGUGGAUACUGGGCGACUAGAGUGUGGUAGAGGAUAGUGGAAUUUCCGGUGUAGCAGUGAAAUGCGUAGAGAUCGGAAGGAACAUCUGUGGCGAAGGCGACUAUCUGGGCCAACACUGACACUGAGGCACGAAAGCGUGGGGAGCAAACAGGAUUAGAACC
rnacentral:rRNA from 1 species